GGUAGCUCUACGCCACCUCCAAGAGCGUCCAGCAGGAGAAUGGGGAGGUCUGGACAGUCCCCACCUGGUACCCUCUGGACAGAGCUUUGAAGGAAAGGCUUAAAGCUACAAGGUGCAGUCCGUGGGGACCGGGGCACGCACACAUGAGCAGAGGGGAUAGUGCAGUGUGCAGUCCUCAGUUUCUUGCCAUGCGUUUGCACAUAGUGCCAGACGAGCCACAUGAACACAGAAUCCUGAUGGACCAAGGAUGUGUGGGAGUUCAGUGAGACUCAACACCAUUACAAGACACGCUGUGCGCAACACUUGAAGAUGGCAGAGAUGCUGCACCUAUCAUUUGGAUCUGGAGCCAUGAGCAGCAGCACAAGAACUCCAUCCUCCUCUCCCCACUAUAAGAACCCUAUAAAGCAGCCCUGCCAACGGCCGUUUGGAAAAAACAUGUUCU